rnacentral:tRNA from 1 species
GAAGGUAUAGCUCAGUGGUAGAAUGCAUGCUUGGCAUACAUGAGGUCCUGGGUUUAGUCCCCAGUACCUCCA